rnacentral:rRNA from 1 species
GGCGGGCGGAUCGACGGAAACGAAAGUUUUUCGGUUCCGGGGGAAGUAUGGUUGCAAAGCUGAAACUUAAAGGAAUUGACGGAAGGGCACCACCAGGAGUGGAGCUUGCGGCUUAAUUUGACUCAACACGGGAAACCUCACCCGGCCAGUACAUCAUAAGGAUUGACAGAUUGAUAGCUCUUUCAUGAUUUGAUGAAUGGUGGUGCAUGGCCGUUCUUAGUUCGUGACGUGAGUCGUCUGCUUAAUUGCGAUAACGAGCGAGACUCCGUCUGCUAAAUACCGGCUGGAUUUUUUGGUCCAUGUAGGUUCUUAGCUGGAUUCGAGACUGCAAGUCUUAAGAAAUGGAGCAAUAACAGGUCUGUGAUGCCCUUAGAUGUUCGGGGCCGCACGCGUGCUACAAUGAUGGUAACAGCGUGAUUGUCCUCGCCCGAGAGGGUCUGGCAAACAGUUGAGAUAUUAUUACUGGCAGG